rnacentral:lncRNA from 1 species
GCGAUCAGAAGGCAAGAACAAGGGGGAAACCCUAACUCAUCAAUUAACAUCGAAAUUCAGCAAGAUUGUGGAGGAUUCUUGUCAUAAAUCGAAUGCUUGUGCUUAAUUAUUCCCUAAUCCAAGUGAUUGAAAGAAGAAGGAGCUAGUUCCGGUUCACAAACAAAGGCUCAAGAUCGAGGUAAAACUCAAGCAUAAAUGUCAUUGCCUCACUCGGAUACGAACACACCUUGAUCAUCCUUGAUGCGCUUCCGCAACUUUUGUAGAAUCUUUAAUGGUUAAAAGCUUUUGUUAAAGUUAGUUUGUGUUUGAAGUUUUCGAACUUUAACUCGUUGGUUGUAAAUAUUUUAAGCACCUUAAACUUGACGUUUUGAACGGUGGUUUAAAAUGUUAUGGUCUU